rnacentral:rRNA from 1 species
UGGCGGCAGGCUUAACACAUGCAAGUCGAGCGGGGAGAGGUGCUUCGGUACUGAUCCUAGCGGCGGACGGGUGAGUAAUGCUUAGGAAUCUGCCAUUUAGUGGGGGACAACAUUCCGAAAGGAAUGCUAAUACCGCAUACGUCCUACGGGAGAAAGCAGGGGGAUCUUCGGACCUUGCGCUAAAUGAUGAGCCUAAGUCGGAUUAGCUAGUUGGUGGGGUAAAGGCCUACCAAGGCGACGAUCUGUAGCGGGUCUGAGAGGAUGAUCCGCCACACUGGGACUGAGACACGGCCCCAGACUCCUACGGGAGGCAGCAGUGGGGAAUAUUGGACAAUGGGCGGAAGCCUGAUCCAGCCAUGCCGCGUGUGUGAAGAAGGCCUUUUGGUUGUAAAGCACUUUAAGCGAGGAGGAGGCUACCUGGAUUAAUACUCUAGGAUAGUGGACGUUACUCGCAGAAUAAGCACCGGCUAACUCUGUG